CCCUCAACCCUGCUCAGUUGGCCCAUCACUCACUGGCACCUGCAUUACCCCUCCCUCUCUCCUCUUUCUGUUGGCUGUCUUCCUUCUCCACUCUCAGUCCUGAUCCGGGAAUUUAGUUCAAAAUAUCAACAAUUCUUUCCCCCAAAAGAUGCUGUUUAACGAGCUGAAUUCCUCUAAUAGUUUUUUAUUUGCUUUAGACCAUUAUAUUUGUGCAUAGAUUGUAAAGUCUACUCAUGCAAUGUUUUCUUUUGGUUUCUUAGUUCAGAACAACAGCAUGGACUGAAGGCCCAGUUCCUGUGCUAUACUAUGUUCCAUAACCCAGAGGCUUUAGAAAUGAGCCAUGCAAAUUACUUUUUCUGUCCUUGGCACUCAUCUGAUCUGUUUUGUUAUUGUACUAUGUAGUCUUAUCAAAUUGCAAGUGUGUUCCAGUUACCCUUUGUACAGGCUAAGAUUGAUUGCUUGGCUUAUUUAGUUUCUUGAAGAUAACUCUGGAGGUCACCAGAAGAUUGGCUGGUACAGAUUAAGCUUAGGUUUUGCAUAUCAAAAAAAGCAUCAGCGAGCAUGACAAGCCCUGUAAGGAAAUUUUCACGGGCUUAAAGGAAGUGCUGGUCAAUGAUGAUCAGGAAGACCUAUCAUCCAUGUUUCAUUCGAGGCCAAGAAAUACUAUGAACUCAGAGUCAAUAUUUAGCACUCCUAUUGUCACUCUGAUGAUUUGUUUGCCUUCCCUUCCUUGUCAUAUGCUUGCCCGAAGAAAGGUGCUGGAGAAGGUGGAGACAGCUAAUGCUACGAAAAGUGCUGAUGGAGAGAAAAUAAAAAAGACCGAAACACAAAAUGCCAAAAAUAUUCAGCAUCUUGGAUCGCUCUAUGGAAAGAGAAGCACAGACAAACGGCUGAGAGUAAAUAUGUGCAGUAGAGAACAUCUUAACAAGCUGCAUCAGUGUUUGGUAUGGAAACUUUACGGCAGUGGACAGGACGGCUCUGCGCUGGGUGGUCAAAGCUACGCAAUGCGUCACUGGUACUCGCCAUCAAGGACAUACGUACAGAAAGGUGCCACAAAAGGGCCAGUGACAUCAUGAAGGAUCCCUCACACUCUGAUUAUGGACUGUUUGACCCCCACUCCUAAUUAGUUUUAUUAUUAUUGUGUUCUUUAUAUUUUGUGUUUUUUUUGUGCCGCAUUGGAUCCGAAGUAACAAUUAUUUUGUUCUCCUUACACAUGUGUACAGGAAAUGAUAUUAAACGAUCUUGAAUAUUGAAUAAA